AAGGCAAACAAAUAUUUAAGGUGUGAAUUUAAUAAAAAUUUUACGUUAAAAUUUCAGAAAAAAAAAGGAAAAAUUAUGACUACCCUACGGCCAUUUACUUGUGAUGAUUUAUUUAAGUUUAAUAAUGUCAAUUUCGAUCCCCUUACAGAAACAUAUGGUUUGUCAUUUUAUACACAAUACUUGGCCAGAUGGCCGGAGUACUUUCAAUUAGCGGAAUCGCCCAGCGGCCAAAUUAUGGGUUAUAUCAUGGGCAAAGUUGAAGGUCAUAUGGAAAAUUGGCAUGGUCAUGUUACUGCCUUAACCGUUUCUCCAGAUUAUCGCCGCUUAGGGUUGGCCGGACUAUUAAUGAAUUUCUUGGAAGAUAUCUCAGAAAAGAAACGGGCGUAUUUUGUGGAUCUAUUUGUGCGUAAAAGUAAUCAAGUGGCUAUUAAUAUGUACAAAAAUUUGGGUUAUAUUAUUUAUCGUACAAUAUUGGACUAUUAUUCGGGCGAAAAUGAUGAAGAUGCGUAUGAUAUGCGUAAGGCUUUGUCCCGUGAUGCGGAGAAAAAGUCGAUUAUACCGUACACACAGCCAGUACGCCUGGAAGAUUUAGAUAUGAAUUGAUAUUAAAUGUUUCGUUUGUUUUCCUUUUAACUUUUCGCUCACUCAUCAGACUAUACUUUAAUAUGUGCUUCCCCAUAUGAAAAUUCUUCUCUUUUUGUUUUAAUAAUAUGACUUUGAGGCUAUGUUCCUAACAAUUAUUAAUACAUUGUAUAUUUGUUUAUUUAAAUGUAUGUAAAUUGUUUGUUUGUGGUUUUGCAAUUUUACCAUAAUAUUAAAAGAUAUAUUCCACUAUGCCCCUCUUUCCCUACCUUUUUUGCUUGACCAAUUGAGCUCGUAUUGCAUUAUUAUAUUGUUAUUAAUAUAACAAUUCUCUCUUUAUAACUCAUGCUAUGUUUUCCACACAUCCCGUAUGCGAAAUAAGUAAAAGAUAACCAUACGUGAAUUACGAGAAAAUGCAAAUUGACGCGUUACAAAUUUUCUUUAGUUUACUUCCGACUUGACAAUAUUUUGAAAAGAAACUUUUUUAAUAGAGAAGAGAUGACUGAAAUUCCCAUUAAAUCCGAUAAGUUGACCACAUAACAAUCUUGCUGUAUUUGGGUUAAACUGAAGCAAUAGGAUGAAGUAUUGCGGUAUG